GUCUCUUUUUAACCCUCCCAGUGCCAUGGGCUGAUUUUAUAGCUUACUUCUAAUCGGCCCUGGUGUUUGGUGGGUUAAUAACAG
rnacentral:pre_miRNA from 1 species